CCACCGCUGGGAUGGGCACACUGGCCGACGGUGCAACGCCGGCGGUGUAAUCAGCCGAUACCGUCACAGCUGUCAACGCGGGCAAAGAGGACGGAAAAAGUGUGUGUGUGUGGCCACCAGCGUAAACACGCGCGCGGUUUGUUCACCAUUUUCACCUAGCGAAGAACGGACGUGGAACAAGGUUUGGAGGAGAUUAUUUUGCGGAUUUGUUGAGGAAAAAAGUAGUGCAGUAGUUUGAUUAUUAAAUUUAUUGAAACUGUGCUGCGUAGGAGACCUCGAAGAAGUCCAGCGAGCUGCUCUGCCGUUGUACCGUCAGUUGGGGCGAAACUGUACUUUGGUGAUCCGAAGAGUGCAAGAAGGAGGGAAAGGAAGAGGAAGUGGAGGAGUUGUGAAGGAAAGAGGAAAAGUUAACGUAGGAAAGGAGACCAAUUAAGUAAGUUAAAGGGACAAAAAAUGUAAA